rnacentral:rRNA from 1 species
ACAGGUGGUGCGAUGGUUGUCGUCAGCUCGUGUCGUGAGAUGUUGGUUAAGUCCCGCAACGAGCGCAACCCUUAUUGCUAGUUACCAUCAUUAAGUUGGGGGACUCUAGCGAGACUGCCAGUGAUAAACUGGAGGAAGGUGGGGAUGACGUCAAAUCAUCAUGCCCCUUAUGACCUGGGCUACAAACGUGAUACAAUGGCUGAAACAAAGGGCAGCGAAGCAGUGAUGUGGAGCGAAACCCAAAAAAGCAGUCUCAGUUCGGAUUGAAGUCUGCAACUCGACUUCAUGAAGUUGGAAUCGCUAGUAAUCGUAGAUCAGAACGCUACGGUGAAUACGUUCUCGGGGUUU